CGAAAGAUUGAUCCAGUUACUUAUUAGGAUGAUAUAUAAAUAAUUAUAAAAUUUAUUAUAAAUAUUAUAAAAAAUAAUAUAUAUAAAUUGAUUAAAAAUAAAAUCCAUAAAUAAUUAAAAUAAUGAUAUUAAUUACUAUAUAUAAUAUAUAUAGAUAUAUACCCCGCGGCACAAACCCAGCUUAGCUGGGUUUGUGACCGCGGGUACGAUAUAAUAAAUAUAAUAAUAUGUAAAAAUAAUAUUAUAUAAUUAUGUUGUAGUAUAUUUUAAUAGUCCUGACAAAUAUUUGUGCCAGCAGUCGCGGUAACACAAAGAGGGCGAGCGUUAAUCACAAUGGUUUAAAGGAUCCGUAGAAUGAAUUAAUAAAUAAUUUAGAGUUAAUAGAUUUAAUUAAAGAAUUAUAAUAGUAAAGAUGAAAUAAUAAUAAUAAUUAUAAGACUAAUAUAUGUGAAAAUAUUAAUUAACUAUUAACUGACAUUGAGGGAUUAAAACUAGAGUAGCGAAACGGAUUCGAUACCCGUGUAGUUCUAGUAGUAAACUAUGAAUACAAUUAUAAAUCUAAUAUUUAGAUAAAUAAUAAAUGAAAAUGUAAGUAUUCCACCUGAAGAGUACGUUAGCAAUAAUGAAACUCAAAACA
rnacentral:rRNA from 1 species